GGCGUAAAGAGCUCGUAGGCGGUUUGUCGCGUCUGCUGUGAAAUCCGGAGGCUCAACCUCCGGCCUGCAGUGGGUACGGGCAGACUAGAGUGCGGUAGGGGAGAUUGGAAUUCCUGGUGUAGCGGUGGAAUGCGCAGAUAUCAGGAGGAACACCGGUGGCGAAGGCGGGUCUCUGGGCCGAUACUGACGCUGAGGAGCGAAAGCGUGGGGAGCGAACAGGAUUAGAUACCCUGGUAGUCCACGCCGUAAACGUUGGGCGCUAGGUGUGGGGACCAUUCCACGGUUUCUGUGCCGCAGCUAACGCAUUAAGCGCCCCGCCUGGGGAGUACGGCCGCAAGGCUAAAACUCAAAGGAAUUGACGGGGGCCCGCACAAG
rnacentral:rRNA from 1 species